GGGCACUAGGUGUGGGUCCUUAUCAACGGGAUCCGUGCCGUCGCUAACGCAUUAAGUGCCCCGCCUGGGGAGUACGGCCGCAAGGCUAAAACUCAAAGGAAUUGAACGGGGGCCCGCACAAGCAGCGGAGCAUGUUGCUUAAUUCGAUGCAACGCGAAGAACCUUACCUGGGUUUGACAUGGUGGGAAAAGCCGUAGAGAUACGGUGUCCUUCGGGGCCCAUCACAGGUGGUGCAUGGCUGUCGUCAGCUCGUGUCGUGAGAUGUUGGGUUAAGUCCCGCAACGAGCGCAACCCUUGUCCUAUGUUGCCAGCGGGUAAUGCCCGGGGACUCGUAGGAGACUGCCGGGGUCAACUCGGAGGAAGGUGGGGACGACGUCAAGUCAUCAUGCCCCUUAUGUNCCAGGGCUGCAAACAUGCUGCAAUGGCCGGUACAAAGGGCUGCUAGCCCGCCGAGGGUGAGCGAAUCCCAUAAAGCCGGUCUCAGUUCGGAUUGGAGUCUGCAACUCGACUCCAUGAAGCCGGAGUUGCUAGUAAUCCCGGAUCAGCACUGCCGGGGUGAAUACGUUCCCGGGCCUUGUACACACCGCCCGUCACACCACGAAAGUCGGCAACACCCGAAGCCGGUGGCCCAACCCUCCUGGGAGGGAGCCGUCGAAGGUGGGGUCGGUGAUUGGGGUGAAGUCGUAANCAAGGUACC
rnacentral:rRNA from 1 species